AUUGAACGCUGGCGGCAGGCUUAACACAUGCAAGUCGAGCGGUGGAAGUUGCUUCGGUAAUUGACCUAGCGGCGGACGGGUGAGUAAUACUUAGGAAUCUGCCUAUUAAUGGGGGACAACAUCUCGAAAGGGAUGCUAAUACCGCAUACGCCCUACGGGGGAAAGCAGGGGAUCACUUGUGACCUUGCGUUAAUAGAUGAGCCUAAGUCGGAUUAGCUAGUUGGUGGGGUAAAGGCCUACCAAGGCGACGAUCUGUAGCGGGUCUGAGAGGAUGAUCCGGCACACUGGGACUGAGACACGACCCAGACUCCUACGGGAGGCAGCAGUGGGGAAGAUUGGACAAUGGGGGGAACCCUGAUCCAGCCAUGCCGCGUGUGUGAAGAAGGCCUUAUGGUUGUAAAGCACUUUAAGCGAGGAGGAGGCUCUUUUGGUUAAUACCCAAGAUGAGUGGACGUUACUCGCAGAAUAAGCACCGGCUAACUCUGUGCCAGCCGCCGCGGUAAUAC
rnacentral:rRNA from 1 species